ensembl:lncRNA
AUCAGCUCCAGCGCAGCUUGGAGGGCGCGCUCCCAGCUCUGCUAACAGUGAAAGCCCCGGCGAGCUAGCGAGCCCUGGGACCUUGCGCGGAACGUCGCGCAACCCCGCGCUGCGCAGCAGACUACACGGGCGACAGUGACCCUGGCACCUGGCCAGGGAUCCAGCGCUGAUGGGCAAACUGAGGCCAAGCAGGAGGACUUGCCAAAGUAUCCCUGCAGAACACCGCCUGGAGGUCGCACCGCUUGGACACCCACAGUGCGGGUCUGCUCGCCGACCAUCCACUCACAGGUAUGUUACAGAGGACGAGGAAGCGUCCCGAAGAACCUCCUGGCGUUUAGUGGAGCCACAGAACACUAGGGCAUUGACAAGCAUCAGAACAUCAAGCAGCCUUAGAUUUCACGAUCACUCCAAAUGGGACAU